CAGUAGCCGCGGGAAUACGUAGGGUGCGAGCGUUAAUCGGAAUUACUGGGCGUAAAGCGUGCGUAGGUGGUGGUUUAAGUCCGUUGUGAAAGCCCUGGGCUCAACCUGGGAGUUGCAGUGGAUACUGGAUCACUAGAGUGUGGUAGAGGAUAGUGGAAUUUCCGGUGUAGCAGUGAAAUGCGUAGAGAUCGGAAGGAACAUCUGUGGCGAAGGCGACUAUCUGGGCCAACACUGACACUGAGGCACGAAAGCGUGGGGAGCAAACAGGAUUAGAUACCCCUGUAGUCCCUGUCUCUUAUAC
rnacentral:rRNA from 1 species